UUUAAGUUUUCUUUAUUUAAUCAGAUACCGCAUAUGGGAAGAGAGUAGUAGUAUAUCCCCGGCGGCGGCUAGCGCUACGCCGAGGCAACAAUAGGUAAUAAUCCACCGGGUCUGUAGGUACCCCCGGACCCCCCCCCACCGGACAUGUUUUCGACCUUCCGCAGGCCCUGCUCCUCUAAGCUCCGCCUAGGGCCCUAGACGGAGCCAAGGAGCCCAGGACGACAAUUAUAACACAUCUAUAGCCCUGGGGAGGCGGCGCCGGGGUAACAAUACUAAUGAUCCCUCCGCUGGUUCACCAACGGAGA
rnacentral:misc_RNA from 1 species